UACGUAGGAUGCGAGCGUUGUUCGGAAUUACUGGGCGUAAAGAGUACGUAGGCGGUUAAAUAAGUCUGCUAUUAAAGACCGGAGCUCAACUCCGGGAAUGUAGUGGAAACUGUUUAGCUAGAGGGCAGUAGAGGAAGUCGGAAUUCUCAGUGUAGCGGUGAAAUGCGUAGAUAUUGGGAAGAACACCGGUGGCGAAAGCGGACUUCUGGGCUGCUACUGACGCUGAGGUACGAAAGCGUGGGGAGCAAACAGG
rnacentral:rRNA from 1 species